rnacentral:rRNA from 1 species
GAUGAAGAGCUUGCUUUUCAAAGUUAGUGGCGGACGGGUGAGUAACGCGUGGGUAACCUGCCUCAUACAGGGGAAUAGCAGCUGGAAACGGCUGAUAAAACCGCAUAAGCGCACAGUGCCGCAUGGCACAGUGUGAAAAACUCCGGUGGUAUGAGAUGGACCCGCGUCUGAUUAGCUGGUUGGCGGGGUAACGGCCCACCAAGGCGACGAUCAGUAGCCGGCCUGAGAGGGUGAUCGGCCACAUUGGGACUGAGACACGGCCCAAACUCCUACGGGAGGCAGCAGUGGGGAAUAUUGCACAAUGGGGGAAACCCUGAUGCAGCGACGCCGCGUGAAGGAAGAAGUAUCUCGGUAUGUAAACUUCUAUCAGCAGGGAAGAUAAUGACGGUACCUGACUAAGAAGCCCCGGCUAACUACGUGCCAGCAGCCGCGGUAAUACGUAGGGGGCAAGCGUUAUCCGGAUUUACUGGGUGUAAAGGGAGCGUAGGCGGCGGAGCAAGUCAGAAGUGAAAGCCCGGGGCUCAACCCCGGGACGGCUUUUGAAACUGCCCUGCUUGAUUUCAGGAGAGGUAAGCGGAAUUCCUAGUGUAGCGGUGAAAUGCGUAGAUAUUAGGAGGAACACCAGUGGCGAAGGCGGCUU